rnacentral:rRNA from 1 species
CCUACGGGGUGCAGCAGUGGGGAAUAUUGCACAAUGGGGGAAACCCUGAUGCAUCGACGCCGCGUGAAGGAAGAAGUAUUUCGGUAUGUAAACUUCUAUCAGCAGGGAAGAAAAUGACGGUACCUGACUAAGAAGCUCCGGCUAACUACGUGCCAGCAGCCGCGGUAAUAAGUAGGGGGCAAGCGUUAUCCGGAUUUACUGGGUGUAAAGGGAGCGUAGGCGGUGCAGCAAGUCAGAAGUGAAAGCCCGGGGCUCAACUCCGGGACUGCUUUUGAAACUGUUGAACUAGAUUGCAGGAGAGGUAGGUGGAAUUCGUGGUGUAGCGGUGAAAUGCGUAGAUAUUAGGAAGAACACCGGUGGCGAAGGCAGCUUACUGGACUGUAAAUGACGCUGAGGCUCGAAAGCGUGGGGAGCAAACAGGAUUAGAUACCCUUGUAGUC